UCCCUGGUGGCUCAGAUGGUAAAGAAUCUGCCUGCAAUGCAGGAGACCUGGGUUCGAUUCCUGGGUCGGGAA
rnacentral:tRNA from 1 species